GAUUCAUUUAAUUUUUCUCAUUACCUGCUCCGCCGGCUUGGGGCAAAAGAACUUGGCACGCCAACUGGAUCCCUCGGGGAAAACUAUAGAGCUGGAAAACUCGGCCGCGAUACAUGAAUCCACGAUACAAUUAAUGGCCGUCGGGAGGCCGCAUUUGAUUUGUAUUUAUAUUAAGCAGGCGGAGCACGAAACUGAUUUUCGCCGGGUAGCUGUGAAGUGCGGGCUGGCCAAAUGGAAUCGAACAAAUAUUUAUAGCCCAAUGUGUACCAACUUCCAGUGCCCGCCUGUCAGCCUGUCAGUCCGACUGAAUUCCCCAUGGCAGCGGCAGCAGCAGCAGCAGCAGCAGGAGGAGGACCAGCUCCAAAAGUGGCCGUGGCAUUGGCAGUGGCAGUGACAGGAAAAGUCACGCCAGGAUGGCUACCGGGUGAACUGGCGUAAUUGAAAGCGACUUCCUUGCGGGCUCCUGCUCUCAAGGACGACCCCAAUCGCAUUCGCAUCCUUGUGGCGCCAGUUUAUUGGAAUUGGUCUGUGGCCGGACGAUUAUCUGAUUGCUGGCGCGGCACUAUGUACAUUUAAGCCAUUGCCAACCAGCCAGCCAUUUGGCCAUCCUGAUGUGGCAUGUAAUUUGAUUAUAUGCAGGCCUCUGUGUCCAGCACCACAAUGUUUGCCUAAUUGACGGUAAUUAAACGAAAACGAAUAGGGCGGACUGACACUGUGAGCCGGAGUGUUGGCAAAUUCGCCACAUCAGCCAGAAUGUCAUAGGCAAAUUGAUGGAUGAUGACUGGGGGUUCAAGCACGAAGCAACUCAGUCAUGCGUGAUUGGCGGCGUGGAUUGUUGGGGCUGGUCAUGCCCCAGAUCCUGCCGAGUCACUAGCAUAUUAAAUAAAAAUCAACAGAACAAAGUGUUGCACUCUGACACAGCAACUGUGAAAAUGCCUGCAGCUACAGUCAACACUCCCAAAGUGAAACUUUCAGUAAGCACCACUAAAUUGUAUGCCAGUUUAACGGCAAAACUUUGUCAAAUAUACCGAACUUUGAACUUACAUAACUCAAACGUCUGCAUGCGGUGCAAAUAAAGUUUUUGCGUC
ensembl:ncRNA lncRNA:CR46016 long non-coding RNA:CR46016